rnacentral:lncRNA from 10 species
CGGCGCGAGCCAGUCGGUGCUGCGGAGCGGCCCCGCGGAGGAGCCACCGGAGGCUGUAGUUGCCGGGGAGUCCCGCAUUCAGUCCGCUCAGCCUCUGGGCCGGGCCUCGGCGGCCCCCAGAGCCCCACACCCGCAGGCCCAGGGCCUCCGCGGCAGCGCGGGACUCUCACUCCGCUCUCUCUCCCGCCCGGGGCUUCCACCGCAACUUCUGUGGGCGUCGCAUCGCACGCGUGUUCAAGGACACCCAGGAAAAGGCUUCUUAGGGUCCCAUCCUGGGGCGCUAAAUGGGAACCAGUCAACCCACCCCCAAGCCUACCCUGUCUCCUUGCAAUCAAAUGCAAUCACGAGCAAACCACCUUGCUUCCGAAAGCUUCUCAGGCCUUCCCGGGCGACUGCGCUACAACCUGCAAAAUGCACUCUUGCUAUCUUAGAAACCACUUGAGGUCGGUGUGGGGAACUUGCUUUUAAUUCUCAUUUAGAGAAGACAGUACUGAAAUGGAGAAAAGUCACAGGGAAAGUACUUUUACAGAUUGUAGAUUAGUAAAGAACCCAAAGAGAGCCUUUCAUUGAGAGCAGAAAGGCGAAUGGAAUUCGCUGUUUUCUGUCUAAGGAGGAGGAGGAUGGGCAGGCAGGUCAGCUGCCCAGUGGGGCUUGGUGUGAUAGUGGGAGUCACCCUUCAUUUGAACCUCUCUGCCUUGCCCAGCUCCAGUUCAGCUUCAGCGUGGUCAGAGACACUAUCUCUAUGGAAGGUCACUCCUGGAAGAAUACAUUUACUUAGCUGCUUCCACCAUGGAAUCCUAGCUUGUGCUGGAGUGUCCCCUUCAUCCUCCUCCUGUGCUUUGAGAAUCCAUUGUUGCUGGUAUGCCCUGAGCAGUGCCCUUGAACUUGCCCAGGUACCCCUUGACAUCCACACCACAAAUAGUCUAGCCUUACAAAGGUGGACAAGAUGUCUUUUCAACAGUCUGUACUGCCACUUCCAUCCAUCUGAAGCUUUCUGUUCCUGAGUCUGUCAUGACAUUAAUCUUUCAAAAAUCUUUCACAGAGAUUUUUAGUCUCUACUAAAAAUACAAAACAAUUAGCCAGGCAUAGUGGUGUGUGCCUGUAGUCCCAGCUACUUGGGAGGCUGAGGCAAGAGAAGCGCUUGAAUCUGGGAGGCAGACGUUGUAGUGAGCAGAGAUUGCGCCACUGCACUUCAGCCUGAGCAACAGAGUCAGACUCCAUCUCAAAAAUAAUAAAUAUAUAUAUAUACACACACACACACACAAAUAGUAUGGAUAAAGGGAAGACGCUGACCUAUCAGAACAACUGCCUGAUCAACCAGAAAGGAUUCCAGAAAUGAACACCUCGCAUGGCCAUGUGAGAACAUACCAGCUAACACCCCUUUGACAGCGGCAAUCAUCAGAGAGGAUGACAGCUCUCAGGAAGAAGAGACCACAGAACACCUACAAUGGGGCGGUGCAAAGGAUGAGAAUCUGGAGGAGGAGGAUGAGAAGAAACAGGAUGACCUGCAAUUGCUCUUCUGCUUGUAUUUACUAGCUUGGUUAGCGGGUACCCGUAUCUUCUCAGUCACUUACAUGAUGAAUCUGGGCGUUACCCUAGAUUCAUUCAUCUGCCUUUCCCGUGUCAUCCAGCUGGUCUCCUGGCAUUAUCUAUCCUGUCCUUAUUCAUUUCUGAACACCUCCCUUCCUUGCCUCAUUGCCUGUCUUACUCCAGUCCCCAUCAUCUUCCUGAUCAACCACAGAGCAACAGACUCCUAGAUGGAUCCUCUCUCUGUGUCCCCUCCAAUCCAUCCUCCAUAGCUCCUCAGACUUUUCUUUUUAAGCCAAUUGUAUUACAAUAUGUCUGCUAAAGAUCCUUAAGUGAAUUCAUAAUGCCUUCAGGAUAAGGUCCAAACUUUAAGCAUGAACUGGCUGCUGCCUUCCUUUCCAGAUUAGUCUCCAGCCUGUGUCCCCUAAUAUCCCAUAUCCUCACCAGUCCAAAUUACCUGCCGUGUGAAUUCACACCUCCAUAUAUCUGUUAGUUCUUUUGUCUCUCUUUCUCCUUUCUUCACCUGACAAACUGUUGAGCCUUGGAGAUCCAGUUCAGGCAGGAUGUCCUCUGAUCUUCCCAAGGUGAAUGCCUCUUGAGUACUUCACCUGUUUUCAUUUGACACCUAACCUUGAUUGAUUUUUCUUUCAUCUCCUCCGCUACACUGUAGGCAACCUGAUCGCAAGGGCUGUGUCUCAGCCAUCUUUGUGUCUUCGUUCUUAGUCUUCAAUAGAAUUUUACUUAAUAAAUAAAUACUUAACAUAUGGACUGAUAUAAUGUUUAAAGUUUAUUAAUUUAAAAAAAAUGUUGCUGAGAAUUAUAAACAGAUUGCAAAGAAAAAAUGCCAGAACAGUCACAUCAUAUGCAACCUG